CCUGGUGCACCAGCAGACACUCCGUAAUCCCUCCUGCCCGUGAGCCUGUGCCGCACAGUCCCUGGGGCUUGGUCAGAUUUGCUGUGCCACCUGGACCCUCCAUGCACAGGUCAGCUUCUUGCAGAACCCCAUUUUACUUCAAAGAAGAUGAUGAGCAUCAAAAAGCCUCCACGUGGAGUUUGCUACAUAUGUGACAAGCCGCCAUAGGGCAAACAAAACAAAACAAAACAAAACAAAACAAAACAAAACAAAACAACAAAAGUCUGCCCUUGCUUCAACUACAAGCAAGAUGCUGUCUACGCAGGACUAAGGUGACACAGAGAAGUCAGCUGCUAAGCUUUGCCAAGACAAGGAAGAAAAGCUCCAAAGAACUUCUUGUGAUAUUCUGGUGGCUUCUGGCUGCUUCUGAGGUCGCAGUUUCCUCUGUGUGGACUGCGGUUGCUGAUUCGUGAACGGUGUUUGCGAGGGAUUGAGCUGCUGCUGCUGAUUCAUGUAAACUGAACUGCUGAUAUCCUGACAACACAGGAAUUGCCCCAAGAAACUAUUUCUAAAGAGGUCCACAUGUCCCUUUGCCCUGUUAGCCUUUCCUUCCCACUACCUCUGGCGGGUGGUGGGCUAGAAGGGAGGUUAAAACAUAAGAAUCCUUAUUAAAGUAGGUUUUGAAAAAUCUAAGCCAACAGGGAAUAAAAACAACCAAACUCCUUUCCUUUAGGCUUAAUCCUAAGAGGCUCUCAGCCCUGAAGAGCAAGGGUCUGUCACUAGGAGACAAACUUGUUCGAGAGCAAAGCAAAGUCUAACAGAUAGGCCAAGCCCCCAAACACGGUAAGAGCCCUGGAUCCAGCCAUGCCUGAAAGCCACAAACAACUAGCUUUUCAAUCUAUGCGAGUCAGAGCACAGCACUGUUUGGUUAAGGCCAGUCUGAAUCGCUUUUUUUUUUUUUUUUCAAAUCAUAUAAACUGUCAAUCCCAUGGCAAACACUGGGAUGCAGGCUGCUUGGCUGGGGUUUAAAACAGUCACCGCCCGGGGCUGGGGAUUUAGCUCAGUGGUAGAGCGCUUACCUAGGAAGCGCAAGGCCCUGGGUUCGGUCCCCAGCUCCG
rnacentral:sRNA from 1 species